rnacentral:rRNA from 1 species
UCGCAAUGCCCGAAAGGGUGACGAAGCGACGCCGCGUGUGGGAAGAAGGCCUUCGGGUUGUAAACCACUGUCGGGAGUUAGGAAAUGUAAGGGUGCUAAUAGUAUCCUUGCUUGACUAAGGCUCCGGAGGAAGCCACGGCUAACUCUGUGCCAGCAGCCGCGGUAAUACAGAGGCGGCAAGCGUUGUUCGGAAUUAUUGGGCGUAAAGAGCACGUAGGCGGCCUUGUAAGUCAGUUGUGAAAGCCUUCUGCUUAACGGAAGAACAGCAGCUGAUACUGCAAGGCUAGAGUGCGGAAGGGGAGAGUGGAACUUCUGGUGGAGCGGUGAAAUGCGUAGAUAUCAGAAGGAACACCGGCGGCGAAGGCGACUCUCUGGUCCGUAACUGACGCUGAGUGUGCGAAAGCUAGGGGAGCAAACGGGAUUAGAUACCCCGGUAGUCCUAGCCGUAAACGAUGGGCACUAA